AAGUCGUAACAAGGUUUCCGUAGGUGAACCUGCGGAAGGAUCAUUACCGAGUUAGGGUCUCUCAGGCCCGACCUCCCACCCCAUGUGUACCUACCUUUGUUGCUUUGGCGGGCCCGUUGGGGCGACCCACCGUCGGCUUCGGCUGGCGAGCGCCCGCCAGAGACCAUUCAAACCCUGUUUAUCAGUGUCGUCUGAGUAAAACACAAUAGUUAAAA
rnacentral:misc_RNA from 1 species